GAUGAAGAACGUAGCGAAAUGCGAUAAGUAAUGUGAAUUGCAGAAUUCAGUGAAUCAUCGAAUCUUUGAACGCACAUUGCGCCCGCCAGUAUUCUGGCGGGCAUGCCUGUUCGAGCGUCAUUACAACCCUCAGGCCCCCGGGCCUGGCGUUGGGGAUCGGCGGAGCCCCCCGUGGGCACACGCCGUCCCCCAAAUGCAGUGGCGAUCCCGCCGCAGCUUCCAUCGCGUAGUAGCUAACACCUCGCGACUGGAGAGCGGCGCGGCCACGCCGUAAAACACCCAACUCUUCUGAAGUUGACCUCGAAUCAGGUAGGAAUACCCGCUGAACUUAAGCAUAUCAAUAAGCGGAGGA
rnacentral:misc_RNA from 1 species